UACGUAGGUGGCGAGCGUUGUCCGGAUUUACUGGGCGUAAAGGGAGCGUAGGCGGACUUUUAAGUGAGAUGUGAAAUACUCGGGCUCAACUUGAGUGCUGCAUUUCAAACUGGAAGUCUAGAGUGCAGGAGAGGAGAAUGGAAUUCCUAGUGUAGCGGUGAAAUGCGUAAAGAUUAGGAAGAACACCAGUGGCGAAGGCGAUUCUCUGGACUGUAACUGACGCUGAGGCUCGAAAGCGUGGGGAGCAAACAGG
rnacentral:rRNA from 1 species